CUGAGGGAGGAGCGAGGUGGGGAGGGCAGAGGCACACAGAGGGGGCAGAGCGGCCCCAGGCCAUCGGAGCUCUAGGCAGGACAGCAGCCCCCGGCUGGCCAGGGCAGGGGACCAGCUGCUUGGGGGUGUCUUUAGCUCCCUAGGGACGAGCUCCUGGGCAGCGGGGUGGUUCCCGGCCCUGGCAGCAGACCCCACGGCAAGGCCCGUCCGUGAUGGCCAGCCCCGAGGGAGCCAGCCCCCACCCAGGGAACCGGGCCAUCCGCCCACCUGCCGGGCUCAUCUUCACCCCUGAGCUGGGGCCGUCACCCAUCGGCAACUUGUGCACGAACAUGGGACAUCUCAGCUGUGUGGAGAGCAUCACCCCAAGGAGAAGGCUGAGGCUGUCCCCAGACGCCCUGACUCCGAGCCCCUCUGGCUCCCAGCUGUUGGCUCCCGCGGGAACGCCCACGCCCACAGGUGGCGCGCUGGAGCCCUCGCUCAGCCCCCAGGCCUGCAGCAGCAGCAGCAGCGA
rnacentral:lncRNA from 1 species